UUCAUUAUCAGUUGAGCUAGGCAGUCUUCACCUGAGAGAUGCUUGUGGUCGAACAAUCCAGUCUGGCAGAUUGCCCAAUAUCCAAAGCCAUGAUAUUGCAGGCUCGAAUCAAAGGUAUUGUAGCAUGAUCAGAUCUUGAUAUUUCGUUGCUGCAAUGGGUCUUCCUUAAACGUUGUUGGGUUUGCAUAAUAGAAACAUGCUAUGCUUGCUAGAUCAUACAGUAGAUGAGACUAGGCUCACAAGAGAAACUAAACUAUGUGAAGGACAAGUACUUGUUUGGUUGAUUGCUUCGCCCAUAAUGGAUGUAGCUCAUUUCUUUAUAUAAUAGAGAUGGUUCCCCCCAGGUGAUAAGAUAUAAUGACUCCCAAAAAUAGGGACUGCCUUGUACAGCAGGUGACUGAGAAAUAACAAAUGCAACCGAAAAAUCUAAUCUAGACCAAGUGAUACUAGUUUCCUAACAGUAAUAUAUUAUUAUUUACUAAUAAGAUACUCUUUUAAUUAAUGGGAUAUUACCCCUUACUUGAUAACUAGCAUCAUUGAAACAAAUGGAAUUGAUGCUUCACAUAGGGAGGUAACAAUAUGUUUUCUCCGGUCUUUUCAAUUUGUCUACAUGCCCCAGUAGUUGGAUGUAAGGUAAACAGAUGCACCUUCUACUGCACAUACCCUAUUCCCAGGGAAAUAGAUGGAAUGAUGCUUCGUAUACUGAGUUUAGGAAUUGGUUUCUCAGGUCUUCUCAUUUUAGCUAGCCCCCAUGGUUGAGACUGUACAGAUGCAUAUUUUAACAUGCGUAUCACAUUAUGAUUGAGUGUUCGAGAUGAUUUUGUCGGUUAGAAACAUCCAUACUAUGGAACAUCAUUGUGCACUAGGUCAUGAGAAAUGUUGGUUUUANGGGAUCCCAACUAUAGGUAAUCAUGCAUAUUAAAGUUACUUAUUUGAAAAUAAUGUAGCCUAUGGAUUAGCCUUUUCAUUUGAUUUUUAUGUGCAGCGAUGAGUCACUCCUGCAAGAAGAUAAUUCAUUAUCAGUUGAGCUAGGCAGUCUUCACCUGAGAGAUGCUUGUGGUCGAACAAUCCAGUCUGGCAGAUUGCCCAAUAUCCAAAGCCAUGAUAUUGCAGGCUCGAAUCAAAGGUAUUGUAGCAUGAUCAGAUCUUGAUAUUUCGUUGCUGCAAUGGGUCUUCCUUAAACGUUGUUGGGUUUGCAUAAUAGAAACAUGCUAUGCUUGCUAGAUCAUACAGUAGAUGAGACUAGGCUCACAAGAGAAACUAAACUAUGUGAAGGACAAGUACUUGUUUGGUUGAUUGCUUCGCCCAUAAUGGAUGUAGCUCAUUUCUUUAUAUAAUAG
rnacentral:lncRNA from 1 species